GCCGAGCUUGAACAUGAAAAAAGGCACGAAAUUCAUUUCAACCCGAGCUUGAGUAUUACUCAGCUCGUUCGAAUUAAGCUCGAAAAGCUCGAAUAUAUAUAUAUAUAUAUAGUAGAGCUACUAUGCUAUCGAAAGUAUAGAUGAUCUGAUGCUUUUGAUUUUUUGAUUCUUAGAUUAACCCCUUUAAUUAUUUCUUAGAAUUAAUACUAUUAUUAUAUUGUAGGGACCACUCAAUCCCAGGAAUAUUAUUUAAUCCUAGGGGGGGACCGCAAUCAUCCCAACCAUAUAAUUCUUAAUCAAAUGGUCAAAAUUUUGAAAACAUCAAAUCCUCCAUAUUUUCGAUAGCAUAGUAGUUCUACACUAUAUAUAUAUAUAUAUAUAUAUAUAUAUAUUAAAAAAUAUAUAAAUAUAAUAUAUUUUAAUUAUAUAUAGGCUGAGUGAAUAAUUUAAGUUUAGUUAAAAUUGGGCCAAUGUUGUUGGCCCAUAAAAACAAACCCAAUAGACAAAUAAAAAAGCAAAACUUCACUAAAUUUAUACAUUUUUCCUUUCUUUCUUUCUUUCACAGAACUCUAAAUUUUAAAUAUAUUUCUCUCUUUCUCUUUUUCUGUCUCUCACCCUAAGCGGCCAAGCCGGAAGCUCUCCAAGUUACCAAGUAACAGUAUAUGCCUGCCGUUGCCUACCUUGCUAUUAAUUGUAUGCUUGAGAAAAUAUACAGAAUAUUUUUAUAGUAAAAAAUUAUUAUUCAUAUAAAAUUUUAAUUUUUGUUAUAUAUGAUUAGAUAGUUUAAUCCAAUAUUUAUCUAUAUAAUUUAUUUAUUUUUGACUGUAUAAAUGAAAAUGAAUAAUAUGAAGAUUGAAGUCAGAAGAAAAGACAUGUGAGGCUGAAAAGAUUAGAUAUUCAACUCAUAAAUUAUUUUUUUUCAUAUUAUAAUACUGUAUUUUAUAUAAUUAUUUUGUACUUUGAACUAUUAGACAUAUGUAUCAAAUUAUAGAUAAUGUUCUAUACAAAUUAAACUAUUGAUCGUAUGAUGUUGAGAAUUUCAAGCGGCUCGUUUAGGGCUCGAGCUCGCUCGACUCGAAAUUAGGCUCGCUCGAGCUCGGCUCGAAUUAAUUUCAAUCCAAGCUUGAGCUUAAAUUUAAGCUCGAAAUUAAUUUCAAGCCGAAUUUGAGCCGAGGUAAGCUCGCUCGAGCUCGGCUCGUUUCCACCCCUAGGUGAGAUUAUCUCUAACGCAAAAAAAAAUAUAUAUAUUUUGUUUAAAAAAUAAUUAGGAAGGUAAGCUUAUUUUUUGCUUAAAGUUAUUCUCUCUAACUGCUGCAGUUGGAACUGUGGUCAAUUGAAUGCAGUUCCAACUUCCAACUGCUGUAGUUCGGCCUCCUCCUGCAGUUCCUACUGCAGCAAUUGGAGUUAAAUUACAUCAAACCAAACAUCGAAUUUGUAUUUACAUAUAAUUAUUAUUGCAAUAUAAUUAUAACUACAUGCAACCAAACAGUUCCUUAUAUUAGAAAAUGUCGGUGUAAAAGUAUGACGAAGGAUAUUGGAAUUAAAAUAUAAAAUAAAAUAAAUAAUCAAUAAAUACAUAAU
rnacentral:lncRNA from 1 species